rnacentral:tRNA from 1 species
UCUAAUAUGGCAGAAUAGUGCAAUGAAUUUAAGAUUCAAAUAUAAGAGAAAACUCUUUAUUAGAA